GAUCCUGGCUCAGGAUGAACGCUAGCUACAGGCUUAACACAUGCAAGUCGAGGGGCGAGCAUGGUCCUAGCUUGCUAAGGCCGAUGGCGACCGGCGCACGGGUGAGUAACGCGUAUCCAACCUGCCUUACACUCUUGGACAGCCUUCUGAAGGAGAUUAAUACAAGAUGUUAUCAUGAGUAAGCAUUUUCGCAUGAUUAAAGGUUUACCGGUGUAAGAUGGGGAUGCGUUCC
rnacentral:rRNA from 1 species